rnacentral:rRNA from 1 species
UACGGAGGGUGCGAGCGUUGUCCGGAAUCACUGGGCGUAAAGGGCGCGUAGGUGGCCUGUGGAAGUCUGCGGUGAAAGCCCGGCGCUCAACGCCGGGUCGGCCGUGGAUACUCUCGGGCUUGAGCUUACUAGAGGCAGAUGGAAUUCCGGGUGUAGCGGUGGAAUGCGUAGAGAUCCGGAAGAACACCGGGUGGCGAAGGCGGUCUGCUGGGCCAAGACUGACGCUGAGGCGCGACGAGCG